rnacentral:rRNA from 1 species
GGACCCGCACAAGCGGUGGAGUAUGUGGUUUAAUUCGAUGCAACACGAAGAACCUUACCAGGGUUUGAAAUCAUUUCAAAACUCCUUGAAAGAGGAGCCUCCUUCGGGAUGAAAUGACAGGUGGUGCAUGGCUGUCGUCAGCUCGUGUUGUGAAAUGUCGAGUUAAGUCUCGUAACGAGCGCAACCCAUGUCUCUUGUUGCUCACUGAGUGCUUAAGAGAGACUGCCGACCAACAUCGGAGGAAGGUGUGGAUGAUGUCAAGUCAGCAUGCCCCUUACAUCCUGGGCUACACACGUACUACAAUGGUAGUGACAAUGGGUUAAUCCCAAAAGCUAUCUCAGUUCGGAUUGUCGUCUGCAACUCGACGGCAUG